UUGUCUAACCCGAAAUCUGAGAAAAACGCUAAUAUAUAUAAUAUAGCAUUGCCACUAUUAGGUAUUUCACUGUCUAUUAGUUUUUCUCUGAUUUAGGGUUAGACCAGUAAAGUUGUUAAAUUGUUGAAUUUAUGUAUUUUAAAUUUAUUUAUUUACAUAGUUUAGUUUUGACUAUGCAAAAUUUAAUAAGUGUAAAUUUGUUUACACUUUCAAUAUUGUGUGUUGCUUCUCUUAAAUGAGAUAAAAACCCAAGGAUGCAAAAAACUUAAUAUAAAAUAGUGUGAAGAAGAAGUAGUAACUGAAAUGAACAGCAUAAUAGAAUUUGAUAAUUUUGACUCAGCACUUGACAAAGUUUCAUCUAGUAACUCUGUAGUACCUCUGCAGUUGUAAAUUGCUAAAUACUGAUUUGACAGAUUUUUCUUUUUUUUUUAAUUUUCUUUACAAUAUAUAAUUUUUACUACUUAAUUAGGAAUUGUCAGAUUUCCAUUAUUUCUUUCUAUUAGAAACAAAGAGUUCAAAAUAUUGGUGGUAAGAACUGUCAAAACUUGAGAUAGCUAUGAUGAAGAGUUUUAUGACAAAUUCACUCAUGGCCAAAUCUAAUAUGGCAGCUGGAAAAGGCAAAGAAUCUUUUUAGUCUAACCAAGUUAUACAACUUAAUAAAAGUAAAGAAAAGAAAAAUCAAAGAAGAAGUUAAAAUGGUCAAAGCUGUUCUUGUUAAGCACCUUGGAGAGCGAAAAAUUGUUAUUGCUAAUAAUAGCAGUAUUAUUGAUUUUUUGAAUAAUAGUAUGCAUAUUUAUUUUUAAAAAUUUCAGAAAUUUACAUUUAAUAAUGUUUACUGAUUGUUGUUAAGAAUUAUUGUUAUUAAAUAAUAUUGCCUAAGUAAAU
rnacentral:lncRNA from 1 species